AAAGGGAGACCUAAUUCAGGUAGGAGACGAAAAAAAGUAGUCCCUACCAAGAAUCAAUCCCAAAAGGUCGGAGCGAGGCAAAAUUGGCUUUCAAACUAGGUUCUGGGUUCACACAAGACCUGAAUCAGGAACAAGGGCUAUUAGCUCAGGUGGUUAGAGCGCACCCCUGAUAAGGGUGAGGUCCCUGGUUCGAGUCCAGGAUGGCCCACCUGUACAGGUGGCAAAAAGAAAGAAAAGAAGCGAGGAAUCAGCACCUUAUCUUACUUAUAUAGUAAGAGAGAAUGCUGGCUCUGAGUUCAGAGUCCAGAGGAACCUUGAAAACUGCAUAGAGCUAGGUGAAAAAGCCAAAAAAGAAGACCGCAAG
rnacentral:tRNA from 1 species